rnacentral:rRNA from 1 species
GUGAGCAACCUGCCCCCAACUCUGGGAUAACUCCGGGAAACCGGAGCUAAUACCGGAUACGAGACACUCGGGCAUCCGACGUGUCUGGAAAGAUUUAUCGGUUGGGGAUGGGCUCGCGGCCUAUCAGCUUGUUGGUGGGGUAAUGGCCCACCAAGGCGACGACGGGUAGCCGGCCUGAGAGGGCGACCGGCCACACUGGGACUGAGACACGGCCCAGACUCCUACGGGAGGCAGCAGUGGGGAAUAUUGCGCAAUGGGCGAAAGCCUGACGCAGCGACGCCGCGUGAGGGACGAAGGCCUUCGGGUUGUAAACCUCUUUCAGCAGGGAAGAAGCGAAAGUGACGGUACCUGCAGAAGAAGCACCGGCUAACUACGUGCCAGCAGCCGCGGUAAUACGUAGGGUGCAAGCGUUGUCCGGAAUUAUUGGGCGUAAAGAGCUCGUAGGCGGUUUGUCGCGUCUGCUGUGAAAACUCGGUGCUUAACCCCGGGCCUGCAGUGGGUACGGGCAGACUAGAGUGCGGUAGGGGAGACUGGAAUUCCUGGUGUAGCGGUGAAAUGCGCAGAUAUCAGGAGGAACACCGGUGGCGAAGGCGGGUCUCUGGGCCGUAACUGACGCUGAGGAGCGAAAGCAUGGGGAGCGAACAGGAUUAGAUACCCUGGUAGUCCAUGCCGUAAACGUUGGGCGCUAGGUGUGGGGCUCUUUCCACGAGUUCCGUGCCGCAGCAAACGCAUUAAGCGCCCCGCCUGGGGAGUACGGCCGCAAGGCUAAAACUAAAGGAAUUGACGGGGGCCCGCACAAGCGGCGGAGCAUGCGGAUUAAUUCGAUGCAACGCGAAGAACCUUACCAAGGCUUGACAUGAACGGUAAUCCGGCAGAGACGUCGGGUCCGUAAGGGCCGUUCACAGGUGGUGCAUGGUUGUCGUCAGCUCGUGUCGUGAGAUGUUGGGUUAAGUCCCGCAACGAGCGCAACCCUCGUUCUAUGUUGCCAGCACGUAAUGGUGGGGACUCAUAGGAGACUGCCGGGGUCAACUCGGAGGAAGGUGGGGAUGACGUCAAAUCAUCAUGCCCCUUAUGUCUUGGGCUUCACGCAUGCUACAGUGGCCAGUACAAAGGGCUGCGAGACCGUAAGGUGGAGCGAAUCCCAAAAAGCUGGUCUCAGUUCGGAUCGGGGUCUGCAACUCGACCCCGUGAAGUCGGAGUCGCUAGUAAUCGCAGAUCAGCAACGCUGCGGUGAAUACGUUCCCGGGCCUUGUACACACCGCCCGUCACGUCACGAAAGUCGGUAACACCCGAAGCCGGUGGCCCAACCCUUGUGGAGGGAGCCGUCGAAGGUGGGACUGGCGAUU